rnacentral:lncRNA from 1 species
AGCAGUAAACAUGACAAUCAACGUCAUUAGUAAUCCGGUGGAAAUUUAUUUGUAUGGGGAAAGAUAGAUAAGUAAAUAUUCAAGGAGGUACAUAACUCAUGUCAGAUAAGGGUGAGUGGUAUGAAGCAGUUAAGGGCAUGUGAAUGAGGAAAGGAGGAGAGGCUGCUUGAGCUUGGAAAGGCCUCUCUGAAGAGGAAAUAUUUAAGCCCGGUUAAGUGCCUAGUAAAGGCUCAGAGACAGGCUGAGUUUGCUAAAUUAGAGGAAAAGCAGGAAGGCCAGUGUGACUGUGGCAAACAUGGUGUUGAUCCCAAGUGUAAUCCUAGGGAACCCGACUUAAGGCCUCCCCAUCUGAAGAACACAAUCUCAAGGAAGAAUUUAAGGGGAAACCUGUCUACACAGUUUGACUUUCUGUAAAGAAUUGCCAUGCUACUCCUGAGGAUCUAGGAUAAUACUGAAAGAAGCACAUAUG